AUUGAACGCUGGCGGCAGGCUUAACACAUGCAAGUCGAGCGGGGUGAUGGUGCUUGCACUAUCACUUAGCGGCGGACGGGUGAGUAAUGCUUAGGAAUCUGCCUAUUAGUGGGGGACAACAUCUCGAAAGGGAUGCUAAUACCGCAUACGUCCUACGGGAGAAAGCAGGGGAUCACUUGUGACCUUGCGCUAAUAGAUGAGCCUAAGUCGGAUUAGCUAGUUGGUGGGGUAAAGGCCUACCAAGGCGACGAUCUGUAGCGGGGCUGAGAGGAUGAUCCGCCACACUGGGACUGAGACACGGCCCAGACUCCUACGGGGGGCAGCAGUGGGGAAUAGUGGACAAUGGGGGGACCCCUGAUCCAGCCAUGCCGCGUGUGUGAAGAAGGCCUUAUGGUUGUAAAGCACUUUAAGCGAGGAGGAGGCUCUUUUGGUUAAUACCCAAGAUGAGUGGACGUUACUCGCAGAAUAAGCACCGGCUAACUCUGUGCCAGCCGCCGCAGUAA
rnacentral:rRNA from 1 species